UACGUAGGCGGCGCUAUCAGUCGGGUGUGAAAGCCCUCGGCUCAACCGAGGAACUGCGCCCGAUACUGUAGUGCUUGAGGGAGACAGAGGUAAGCGGAACUGAUGGUGGAGCGGUGAAAUGCGUUGAUAUCAUCAGGAACACCGGUGGCGAAAGCGGCUUACUGGGUCUCUUCUGACGCUGAGGUACGAAAGCUAGGGGAGCAACG
rnacentral:rRNA from 1 species